rnacentral:lncRNA from 1 species
AUGAGAAUUUUGGCCGUGGAAUUCCAUCCAUGGGAAUUUUAUCCAUGGAAUUGUGGCUGUGGAAUUUUAUGGGAUUUUAUCCAUGGAAUUCUGGCUGUGGAAUUGUGGCUGUGGAGUUUGAUCCAAGGAAUUUUAUCCUUGGGAUUUUGGCUGUGGGAUUUUAUCCUGGGAAUUCUGGUUAUGGAAUUCUGGUCAUGGAAUUUUAUCCUGGGAAUUCAAUCCAUGGAAUUUUUAUCCAUGGAAUUUUGGCUGUGGGGAUUUUAUCCAUGGAAUUCUGGUCAUGGAAUUCUGGUCAUGGAAUUUUAUCCUGGGAAUUCAAUCCAUGGAAUUUUAUCCAUGGAGUUUUGGCUAUGGAAUCCUGGUCAUGGAAUUUUAUCCACGGAAUUCUGGUCAUGGAAUCCUGGCCGUGGAAUUUUAUCUAUGGAAUUUUAUCCAUGGAAUUCUGGUCUUGGAAUUUUAUCCAUGGAAUUCUGGUCUUGGAAUUUUAUCCAUGGAAUUUUAUCCAUGGAAUCCUGGCCAUGGAAUAUUUUAUCCAUGGAAUUCUGGACAUGGAAUGUUUUAUCUGUGGAAUUCCAGCUGUGGAAUUCUGGCCGUGGAAUAUUCUGGGCAUGGAAUUGUGGCUGUGGAAUUUUAUGGGAUUUUAUCCAUGGAAUUGCGGUUAUGGAAUUCUGGUCAUGGAAUUUUAUCCAUGGAAUUCUGGUCCUGGAAUUGUGGUCAUGGAAAUGCGGCUGUGGGAUUCUGGCUAUGGAAUUUUAUCCAUGGAAUUUUAUCCAUGGAAUUCUGGUCCUGGAAUUUUUAUCCCUGGAAUUCUGACCUUGGAAUUGCGGUCCUGGAAUUUUUAUCCCUGGAAUUUUUAUCCCUGGAAUCGCGGAUCCGUUUCCCGCCCCCGGCAGCCUCGGAUCCUCCCGGACGGGACCUUUUUUUGGGGAUUUUUUGGGAAUAUUCCCCCCUUGGAUAUCGGAAUUCCCGGCUGGAAUUUUCCCCGAGGAAUUCCUUGGAUUUAGGGGAGAUUNNNNNNNNNNNNNNNNNNNNNNNNNNNNNNNNNNNNNNNNNNNNNN